AUUGAACGCUGGCGGCAUGCUUUACACAUGCAAGUCGAACGGACUUAGGUGCUUGCACCUAGGUUAGUGGCGAACGGGUGAGUAAUGCAUCGGAACGUACCGUGUAAUGGGGGAUAACGCAGCGAAAGUUGUGCUAAUACCGCAUACGAUCUACGGAUGAAAGCAGGGGAUCGCAAGACCUUGCGUUAUACGAGCGGCCGAUGUCGGAUUAGCUAGUUGGUAGGUAAAGGCCUACCAAGGCAACGAUCCGUAGCGGGUCUGAGAGGAUGAUCCGCCACACUGGGACUGAGACACGGCCCAGACUCCUACGGGAGGCAGCAGUGGGGAAUUUUGGACAAUGGGCGCAAGCCUGAUCCAGCCAUGCCGCGUGAGUGAAGAAGGCCUCGGUU
rnacentral:rRNA from 1 species